rnacentral:rRNA from 1 species
AACGAACGCUGGCGGCAGGCUUAACACAUGCAAGUCGAACGAAGUCUUCGGACUUAGUGGCGCACGGGUGAGUAACACGUGGGAAUAUACCUUUUGGUGGGGGAUAACAUCGGGAAACUGAUGCUAAUACCGCAUACGCCCUUCGGGGGAAAGAUUAUCGCCAAAAGAUUAGCCCGCGUCCGAUUAGCUAGUUGGUAGGGUAACGGCCUACCAAGGCGACGAUCGGUAGCUGGUCUGAGAGGAUGAUCAGCCACACUGGGACUGAGACACGGCCCAGGCUCCUACGGGAGGCAGCAGUGGGGAAUAUUGGACAAUGGGCGCAAGCCUGAUCCAGCCAUGCCGCGUGAGUGAUGAAGGCCUUAGGGUUGUAAAGCUCUUUCGGGUGGGACGAUGAUGACGGUACCACCAGAAGAAGCCCCGGCUAACUUCGUGCCAGCCGCCGCCGUAAAAC